AUUUCAACAUAAAACAGCCCCAUUUAAUGGUGAUUGCAACAUAAAACCAUAACUGAUAGGCCCCAUUACCCUUAUAUCUCGAGGACUACUUGAAUGGUAGUUGGGAUAUUCUGGUAUUCAAAAUCUGGAGGAUACCAAGGUACAAGAUAGAAAUUCCAUAAUAAAUCUUUAAAAACCACCCAAAACCUUUUUGAAGAAUUCUACGCUUCUGCAAAAUGAAAUAUCCAGAAAGUUCUCCUGAUCACCAGAAACAGGUAGUUAGCCUUUAUCAAGGCAGUGAGUCCUCCAGUGUGUCACCAGGUGGGAAUUCUGACUGAAACUUUUCCCACUUUGGACAUUCAUUCCGUUUUUCUCCUGUGUGAAUCCUCUGGUGUGUCACCAGGCUGGCAUUAUUACUGAAUCUUUUCCCACGCUCUGGACACUCAUACGGUUUCUCUCCUAUCUGAAUCCUCUGGUGACUUAACAGGUUGCAAAUAUAACUAAAAUGUCCCACACUCCAGACAUUCAUACAGUUUGUCCAGGGAAUGAGUCCUCUGGUAUGUCAUUGGGCCCGAAGUCUGAAACUUUUGCCACAAUCUGGACACUCAUACAGUGUGUCUCCUGUGAGUUCUCUGGUGUCCUCAGGUGGCAUUUUUUUCCACAGUUAGGAUAUGCAAAGGAUUUCUUCCCAGGGUGAGUCUUCAGGUGUCUCAUGAAGUGGGAAUUUCGAAUGAAACUUUUCCCUCAAACCAGGCACUUCCGGUUUCUCCCUGGUGUGAGUCCUCUGAUGCUGCUAUGCUUGCUGAAGCAUUUACCACAUUGAAAGCACUUGCAGGCCAUCUGUCCUAUAUGUGUCCUUCAAUGAACCCCAAGAAAGCUGUUCAGACUAAACCAUUUCUUGCAUUGCUAUGGCUUUUCUACAAUGGGGAUCCUCUCAUACAUAAUCAGUUGUGAUUUACAAUCUGUACUUUUCCCACAAAAGGCACAACAGAGGCUUUUCCAACACUGAUAUUCUUGAGGUCAAAUAUAUGUGUGAUCAUUUGUUUACUGGUGCUUUAAUUCCACCUGUUUUCCUCCUCACAGGGCCAGCCCUGCAUCACUGUCUGCCCUAUUUGCCUAGCCAAUAGACCUUACUCCCUGCUGACUUCCAGAGUUACCCCUCUUUUUCUGAAUGAAAUAUAAUCUCCCCCUUGAGCUAUCAUGUAACGUAUUCUUGAGUUUCUCAUAGUCUACUUUUUCUUGCUUGAAAUCUCCUCUUAGUUUGCUCCUUUGUCUCUCAACUGUUGAGAAAGGAGAAGAAUUUUGUGGUUUUCUGAAGGAAAUGGAAAAUAGUUUGGUUUCUGGCUGGCUUUGCUUUCUUUUCCAAUGUUGCUUGUUAUUCUCAGUUUUCCAGAGUGCUCCUAUUGCCAUCCUCUUUGUCUAUAAGAUUCAAAGAAAAAUGUAACUUUAAUCCUUUAUAAAAUGAUUGAAGAUGUAAAAAC